UUUGUUACUUUAAAAUAUGAGUGUCUCUGUCCAUUGAUCCUCUGGUGACUUCCUGCUGGAUUCAGAUUGUGGUUUCUUAGGUGAAAAGGUCAGCGUGUUAUUCAUCCAGCCACACAUCCAUGGCGAUUAGCUGAAAGCAGCCCAGGACAUUUUGACAUGGCAAGGCCUAGGGUACCUGAAGGAAGUGUAUUUCUUUCCUGCCUCGCUUUCCCUCUGUCUGUCUUCAGGGAGUGGGGGAGGCGCUCAUUGCCAGUGUAUUAACUGCUGCACACCCGUGGCCAUAGGGUGCGGGAAAGCCCUUGAGGACCAAGCACGUCCUCUCCGGAACAGCGUCUGAUUUAGUGCUGUUUCCUCGGGUCUGCAGUGUCUCAGGGGGCCUUUUUCCCUCACAGCACUGAUCUUUCAAUGAGGUGCUAGUGUCUGUCCCGAGCAAUAACAGGGAGAAACCAUGAAGUGUGAACAGCUCUUAUUAGAGGGGUAAAUGUCAUUAAUGCUUUUGUAGCCUCCCUACAGUCUGAAUGCUCUUGUCAAGAGAGCGGAGGAAGCCUCCUUUAAAUCCGAGAGGCAGAGUGCAGAUGCUGAAGUUUUACAUUUUAAUUAAGCAAGGCCAUUAUCCCUUUUGCUUGUGUAUUUUUGUAAUCACCAAUACCUGUAGCCUUAGGACAGUCUCUAAAUUCAGGCUGGGAAAAAAUGGUUAAUGGAAAUUAUUUUUAAGGACUUGCGAAACAGUUUCCUCAGUCAGCUUUAGGAAAUCUUUGGUGGUGGCAGAGCAGGUGCCUCUCUUGGUUCUGGUGUUUUCUGUAUACCUAUAUGCUCCUGUAAAAAUGCAUGUUAAUAUAUGAUAUGAGAAAACACUAGCAUGUCAAAUUUCUGAGUGUAGAAUAAUAAAAUAUUUAAAGCACCUAACAUUUAAAUAAAGAUUUUAUUAUUUUCCGAACAUACACAGAAUAUUUCUGUGACCAUUAACUUCCUAUAUGAAAAUUUUCACCUUCUUUGAAACAAAAAUUUUAUAGACAAGAAUUUACUGCAUCUCUUCUAUUAAUUUCUCCUUAGUCUUGGUUAUAUCUUUGAAGUGCAAAACAGAAAUAGUUAUAUGGCAGAAAAAUGAGGGAAAUGAAAUAUCCUUUACUCUGGGAUCAGGUUUUAAUAAAGAGAAAUUGUAAACAUUGUUAAAACAUGGGAAAUAAUCCAAAAAAAGUUAGAGGCAAAUAAGAAAUAAAAUAAUUUCUGAUGCUUGUUGCUAACUUAGAAAUGUAUAAUUUGAUAUAGUGUUUAUUUAGAGUAUAAUUUUUAAAAUUUAUCAUUCUUUGCCCCCUUUUUAAUACUCCAUUUUUAUUUUAGUUUUGUUUUGCUUUUGUUUUUUAAUUUUGCUUCUUAUUUAUAAGACUGAAGAAAGUGAAUUCAUCCAACUGAGACUUCAGUGGCCACUGCAGACAAGUGGACAGAGACUCAGUGGGCACUGCAGACAGGUGGACAGAGACUUCAGUGGUCACUGCAGACAGGUGGACAGAGACUCAGUGGCCACUGCAGACAGGUGGACAGAGACUCAGUGGGCACUGCAGACAGGUGGACAGAGACUCAGUGGUCACUGCAGACAGAUGGACAGAGACUCAGUGGGCACUGCAGACAGAUGGACAGAGACUCAGUGGCACUGCAGACAAGUGGACAAAGACUUCAGUGGGCUUACAGACAGUUGCUAAGCAGAGACUUCAGUGGGCACUGCAGACAGUUGCUAAGCAGAUACUUCAGUGGGCAUUGCAGACAGGUGCUAAGCAAGGCAGCGCAUUCCCAUUUUAGCUUUCGGUAGUGGAGUGUGACUGCAGCUACACAAAAGAGAACAAAAAUCAUGAGCUGCAUUUUGUAACAGAUCUAUAGUUAGUACAAUAACCAGUUAUAUGUAAAUGGGUGCUUUGGCCAUAUUUACAACUUUACUGACAAAUUAAUGCCUUUUAAAAAAGAUACUUAAGCCUUUCUCAGAUCCCUUGGUUCUAUUGUUAGUUUAGACUCUGCCAUUAAAGAACUGACAAACAGAAGUAACUUUUAGCUUCACCCCGAAGUUUUGAAUUAUGGUAUUUAAUUUUCUUUCGGUUUAAUUAGAUUUUGCUGUCUGUUACAGAAAUAUCUGCUUAUUUAUCAAAUUAUAUUUGCUUCCUAUCUAUUCUUUAGCUCUUAAAUGAUUUGACAAGUUAGUGAACGCUUAUUUAAGUUCUCUUUUCAGUGAGAAUGCCAGGGUGAUCCAUUGGAGCUUAGUGCAGACCAUGUGUGGAAGCCACUUGUGGAGGCAUCGCUUAGGACAAGGUGGAAUUGCCAUUGCCAGUGCUGCUUGGGGGGAAAUUGCAUCAGUUAGAAUGUAGAAGUUUUACGUUCAAUUAUAGCAUACUUUAUAAAGAACAUAAACUUUGGAGGGAGUUAGCAUUCUGCGUGUUCGUUUCCUUUGCUCGGUGUGUAGAAUUUUAGUCACGGGAAGAUUGUUUGGUAAAGAAGUUCUUUGUGCAUAUAAUUAAGAAAGUGACAGUCCAGUGACAGUAGGGAGUCCCUAAGGAAGGUAUUCUCACGUUUGGGGCCCUAUGCAAAAGAGACCUUUAAUAGCACCAAGCGCCUUGCCUGCCCCUUUCCCUCUGCUCUACCUCUCAUCUAGACUCCGGCUGCUAAUAGGUAAAUUAUACUUCCUAAGGUUCACAUUGUGGAAUAACUUUGAUGGCUGGAGUAUCAAAAUUACCAAAGAUGUACAGUAAAACUCGGAGAAUGUUUCCCUAGAUGGAGGAAGGCUUUAUUGUAGCGUAGUUCUCGCAUGGAAGGGGACCUGGGCUGGGGCCACUGGAGUGGAGUGUCUUUGAAGGGGGACUUUGUAUAGAAUGCUGUAGAGUAGGGUUUUCCUUUAGGGGUUAUUCACCAGAAGACAUUGCUUUGAGAGCCCAAACAGCAUCCUGGGUAUAAGCUGUGGUCUCCCAGACCUAAGGAGUGUCCGAUAGUUAAAUUCCACAAAUGUUUAAGAUUUGCCUAUACCUUGGCUAAAUGUGUCUUGUCCUAAGUCUGGUUGCCAUGAUUUUAGACAGGUUGAGCUUUUGUUCUGAUCGCUGGUUGCAUUUCUUUAUGAAGGGGUAAGUGUGCCUUCUCAUAGAUGCUUCUAGAAACUCAAGAUGGCAGAAUGUAAAUGCUGGUAUUAUAUGGUAACAAAAAAUAUGUCAUUUCUCUACAGCAUUCUUUCAUUCUUGUUAUAUCUGUAUGUUUCUAUAAUCACCUUCAUGUAUCUGAAUACUGAGGAAGUUUUGUGAGGCUCAUUUUUUUCAGUGUUUUGAGUCUGUUUUGGGGAGACCAAACAUAUUUAUGUAUUGAAUAAGUUUGCAUCUUUGAGUAUUUGUCUUAAGGACAGUACUAAAAUCCAAAUAACGUGCUUGAGAAUGGCAUUCACAAAACUAAAGCAUAGUUUCCUGUGGAAUAAAUAUACAAGUGGUAUAAAUAUCUUCCCCUGUCUAGUUGUUGAAAACUUAAAUAAUUAGGUAAAAUCUGAAACCUCUAAAUAUGUUGAAGGAAUAUUUUUCUACUUAGAAAAAAUUCUGUAAAAUGUAACAUGGUUUUUGCUUUUAUAGGGCUUAUGAAUGUGUUGUAAAUUAGUUAAUAACACUAUAUACUUAUACAUGCUUCAUACAUUUACAUAUUUUUUGUUAAUUUGUUACUAAGUAGUAGUAAUUGCUUGUAUUUAGUAGUAAUGACCUUGAGGGCCACCAGGUAAUUGAACUUUUUAAUUUUAAUACAAAUUUGGUUUAGAGCAGACAUUAAAUUCUGAUUUGGAAAACGUUCACCAAAUAUUCCCUUAUUUAUUUAUCAAAUAUGUGUUUGAAAGUGUGAAAAUACAAAAUUCAUGUAAAGGUUAUUAGAGUUAGAUUUUUCACAUUUUUUCUUUAAAGCAGAGCUUAGUUUGAAUUAGAAUUCUAGGCAGAGUUUCUGAGAAGUGAAUAGAGCUUUAUUUAAUGUAGCAGGGACGAUGGGUAGGGCUUAACUGCAAGACUGAUGGGAAGUAGGUUUUGUAGUUUGUCUUUAUGAAAUUAAGAAAAAACAAAUGAAUACAAAACCAAAGUCUAGAAAUGCAUACUAGAUAGAAAUAUAGUACAAGUUUACACAGUUUAAUAGUGAUGUGAAGGGCUGGAGGAAGGGAUUCGGUGGAACAACAGCAAGAAAAUGUACAUAGCGGUUAUAGAUACCUUUUGUUGAAUUUGACCACAUCUCUUCUUUUUAGUAAUGUUUUGUAUCAUGAAAAAGGUCUAUAAAAAUGCAGAAUAGUCUGAUGGAAGCUUUGAAGAAGGACUAGGAAUGCGGCUGGAACCAGAGCAGCAGCGUCAGUGGAAGUUGAUCUGUCAAAUGAGUGCAUCGGUCCUGCACAGUCCCAUGCAAAUUAUCCGAAAGCUACUGGCUUCAUAGGGGUAAAUUGAGCAUCUGCAGUGAGUGGACAAUGACCAGGGCUGGUGGUCUAGGAUGACCUUCCUUGUUGUUCAUUAGGACAACCAAAGUGAUUGGUUUGCUGCUCACUGUUUGUAGGUUAGCCACAGUUUGUUCAUAGAUGCAGCAGGAGAGGGAAAGCUGAGUGUGCAAGCCUUUAAAGGAUCUGUUUCCUUCCUAGUUAUUGGUGCCCUAUUGGUCAAUGCAAGUCAAAUCACAAAGCCAAGAGUGAGCAUUGGCAAGGUGGGUCCCAAGACAUAGACAAGGGGAUGGGGGGUCAUGAACAGUUUGGGGUCAGUACUGUAGUAAGUGGUCAUCCUAAAGCUCCGGGAGACUUAUUGGUAAUUAUGCCCACAUGGAACUGAACCUGUGCCAAGACUCUUGUUUGGAAGUCGUCACUGUAUUUGAAUUAGAACUGUAGCAGAGACUGAGAUAAAAUCGUCUAUCUGGAUGUAGUUGAUGAAGACAUGCAAGUUACUCACAGUCAGACUCCAGGCGUCAAAGCCAAGCACAUAGGGAACUCGACAGCCUGUAAGGUUGUAGUUUAGCUGGGUUUUCAGUGACCUUGGACAUCUGUUCAAACUUUGUAAAAGGGCCCUCAUCUUUCUGAAAACAGUCAAAUGAGAACAAAUCUUUAAAUUUCCUUUUAGUUUACUUAGAAUUAAUGUCUUUAUUCCAGUUCUAAAGAAGAGAAAUCUCUUCUUUAGAAGCCACUUCCUAGCCUAGGCUAGCCUCCAACUCGCAAUCAUCCUGCGUCCCCAGUGCUGGGACUGUAAACAUGUACCACCACCUAUAGUAUUUUCUUUAUGACAUCAAAUUGCACUGCAUGUUUUUAGUUCACCUUUUAAUAACACUUGGGCAAUUUUAAAACAUAAACAAAAGGCUCCAAAGUUUGUAUUUCCUAUUUUUACCCCUCGGAACCAAGCAACCUCCUAGGAUUCUAAAAUUAUUUUUUUAACAUUUGGAAGUAUGUCAACUUUGACUGAAGUUGGAAAACAGAAAC